CUUGUCCCUACCCCGGGCACUGGGUUGCUGAUCCAGCUAUGGAGAAAGCCGCAGUUUAUGCCAAUGGAAGAGGCACAUCUGGGGAGAAGAAUGUGACUCUCCUCCUCUCACCCACUUCUUUGCCCAGUAGAUCUGCAGGACACAGCCUCGUUAACUCUGAAGUUUAAGUUUAACCCAAAGCUGGGCAUUGAUAAUCCUGUCCUCUCCCUGGCCGAAGACCACGACCCCUAUGGUAACUCCCUCACCCCCUGGCAACCAUUCCCUAUCCCUGGAGGCACCACGGCUCCACACGGCCUCCGAUCUCCUUGGUAACCACUCACUCGGUCUCCCUCUGAUAACAGCCUUGGUUGGGAGUAGAGAUAGGAGGGGCCGGGUGUUUUCUCCUGUCCCAGUCCCUCUGCCCACGAACCCCACCACCCAACACCCAACCAGGCAGAAACUGCCCAGCACCCUAUCAGGACACAGGGUCUGCCAGGCACACGGCGAACCUGUACUUGGGCUGUGCCCUCUCCUCCCCCUUUUCUGCUGCCCACCUCACCCUCCAGAUCCCUGGAGCCUGGAGCGGCCUCGCUUCUGUUUACUGAGCAAAGAGGAGGGCAAGAGUUUUGGCUUCCACCUGCAGCA
rnacentral:lncRNA from 1 species